rnacentral:misc_RNA from 1 species
UCUCCGUUGGUGAACCAGCGGAGGGAUCAUUACUGGAAUCGCAAGAUCCCACAACCCCUGUGAACCUACCGAAACGUUGCCUCGGCGGGCGCCCGGCCCCGCGCCGGGCGCUGAGCCCGCCGGCCGCCCCCUACUCUUCUCUCUGCAGCGUGGCAUCCCAGAGUCCCAGAAAACAAGUAAAAACUUUCAACAACGGAUCUCUUGGCUCUG